rnacentral:rRNA from 1 species
CCUACGGGAGGCAGCAGUAGGGAAUUUUCCACAAUGGACGAAAGUCUGAUGGAGCAACGCCGCGUGAGUGAAGAAGGGUUUCGGCUCGUAAAGCUCUGUUGGUAGUGAAGAAAGAUAGAGGUAGUAACUGGCCUUUAUUUGACGGUAAUUACUUAGAAAGUCACGGCUAACUACGUGCCAGCAGCCGCGGUAAUACGUAGGUGGCAAGCGUUGUCCGGAUUUAUUGGGCGUAAAGGGAGUGCAGGCGGUUCAAUAAGUCUGAGGUGAAAGCCUGCGGCUCAACCGGAGAAUUGCAUCAGAUACUGUUGGACUAGAGUGCAGUAGAGGUGAGUGGAACGCAAGGUGUAGCGGUGGAAUGCUUAGAGA